rnacentral:rRNA from 1 species
AAACUUUCAACAACGGAUCUCUUGGUUYUCGCAUCGAUGAAGAACGCAGCGAAAUGCGAUACGUAAUAUGAAUUGCAGAUAUUCGUGAAUCAUCGAAUCUUUGAACGCACAUUGCGCCCUUUGGUAUUCCAAAGGGCAUGCCUGUUUGAGCGUCAUUU